AACGAACGCUGGCGGCAGGCUUAACACAUGCAAGUCGAGCGCCCCGCAAGGGGAGCGGCAGACGGGUGAGUAACGCGCGGGAAUCUACCCAUCUCUACGGAAUAACGCAUGGAAACGUGUGUUAAUACCGUAUACGUCCUUCGGGAGAAAGAUUUAUCGGAGAUGGAUGAGCCCGCGUUGGAUUAGCUAGUUGGUGGGGUAAAGGCCUACCAAGGCGACGAUCCAUAGCUGGUCUGAGAGGAUGAUCAGCCACACUGGGACUGAGACACGGCCCAGACUCCUACGGGAGGCAGCAGUGGGGAAUAUUGGACAAUGGGCGCAAGCCUGAUCCAGCCAUGCCGCGUGAGUGAUGAAGGCCCUAGGGUUGUAAAGCUCUUUCACCGGUGAAGAUAAUGACGGUAACCGGAGAAGAAGCCCCGGCUAACUUCGCGCCAGCCGCCGCCGUAACAC
rnacentral:rRNA from 1 species